rnacentral:lncRNA from 1 species
UCCUGUUUAGUCCAAAUUACACAGUCCAAAUUUUAUAUAAGUACACAUCAAAAUUUAAAUUACAUUAUUAAACCAUUACAUAGCAUUUAAGACCUAUUUGACUAUAAAACACAGCAAUCCAAACAGGUACCAUUCAGGAAGCAGAUGUCUGAGCAUUUCAUUCCAUUUUCAUCUUAAAGCUAUAUCAAGUUGAGUUCAAUUGUGUACCUGGAAUUACAACAAAUGAAUACCAAUGAGUAAUGUAGGUAGGAAGCAAUAGCAGUAACAAAUUCAGCUCAGCAAAUGUAGCGAUGAAUCCAAACAUGAAACCCAAGAGCAAACAAAGAGUUUUUCUCAAAAUAAACCAGGAUCCACGUAGCUUUAACACAGAUGAUUCCAAGAUAAGUUCAAAAGUGGUUGAUGCUAAUAGAAUAGUAGUUUUUACCCCUUUUUCUUUUUGUGUUUUUAAGUUUUCAGCAGAUUUCCCCGGAAUCAGAUCUACUAUUUUGAUUUUUGCUCUUGUAUUUGGGACUGAUUCAGAAGGAUUUUUCUGGAACGUUUUUCUGAAGACUUUGGAUUCCAAUUUUUCCAGAGAUUUUUAGGGGGGCUAAACUGGUGGGAAUUUCAGAG